UGUAGAGAUUUCGACAGCCGGAUUCCAGCCUUCGUUAUCGCUAAUUUUGAUCGCUAAAAAAUCUCCCAAGAAUAGCAGGCGCGCCUAACAACAUACACCACCUAGUUACAUGCUACUCAUACUACCAACUUUGGUUGAUUACACAUUGCAUCUGUUACUUUUAUAUUGCGUGCUUUUAGGCCCCACUGAUUUUCAUUUAGAGAAUUUUGGCGAUGGAAAUUUAGCGUGGCGAUUGUCAGAAUUCCAUUGCAGAUCAUAAUAAA